rnacentral:tRNA from 1 species
GCCCCCAUCGUCUAACGGUCAGGACAUCUCUCUUUCAAGGAGGCGACGGGGAUUCAACUUCCCCU